UGGUGCCAAGAAAAAUGUCUUUCAUCUCCUCAAAUAUUUCUCCAUUGAAGCAUCAGUACUGCACGGGACACCAGAUAAGAACGCGAUAUAUGCAAAUCAAGAAAAAGUCUCCCAACCUUCGCUUUGCCAGUUCUUGUCUGCCGUAAAUACGUUUUGAUUCAUCUCUCCUAGUUAAGGAGAUAUCAAAGAUUCUUGGAUAUUCGAAUCUUUUCAACUAUUUAAGCAAUGAAGGUCAUAUGUCUUCGUGGACUGCGAACCAAAGCUAACGAUUAAAACCAUACCAUAGAGAAGAAGAAGAAGAAGAAGAAGACAUUCUAUUCUCAUAGCUAAGAAGCUACAAUAGAAAAGAGCUACGAGUCUGCACAUUUGCGCAACGUAGUACCUGAGCUGCGCGAGUCGUCAAUUCAACACACGAUCUACUCGUAAAAAGGUGGUGGUGCCAAGAAAAAUGCCUUUCAUCUCCUCAAAUAUUUCUCCAUUGAAGCAUCAGUACUGCACGGCACACCAGAUAAGAACGCGAUAUAUGCAAAUCAAGAAAAAGUCUCCCAGCCUUCGCUUUGCCAGUUCUUGUCUACCGUAAAUAUGUUUUCAUUCAUCUCUAAAGAAGAAGAUAAGAAGAUAUCAAAGAUUCUUGAAUAUUCGAAUCUUUUCAACUAUUUAAGCAAUGACGGUCAUAUGUCUUCGUGGACUGCGAACCAAA